UACGUAGGGGGCAAGCGUUGUCCGGAAUCAUUGGGCGUAAAGCGCGCGUAGGCGGCCCGGUAAGUCCGUUGUGAAAGUCAAAGGCUCAACCUUUGAACGCCGAUGGAUACUGCCGGGCUAGAGUCCGGAAGAGGAGAAUGGAAUUCCUGGUGUAGCGGUGAAAUGCGCAGAUAUCAGGAAGAACACCCGUGGCGAAGGCGGUUCUCUGGGACGGUACUGACGCUGAGACGCGAAAGCGUGGGGAGCGAACAGG
rnacentral:rRNA from 1 species